GGAGAGAUGGCUGAGUGGUUGAUAGCUCCGGUCUU
rnacentral:tRNA from 2 species